GGCCACACCUAUUAAAGGUUCCACCAUUUCCCAAUAGUCCCAUAGGUUGGGACCAAACCUUCAAAACAAGGGCUUUUGCAGGCAUAUGUCAGAUACAAAGUACAGCCAAGGGCUCUAGUAGGACUUUGGAUACAAAGAACAAACAUCAAGAUAUGUGGAGGCAUCAGAGGAAGCUUCCAAAAGGAGUGGGGUCAGAGUUAGGACAAGAGAGCAUGGCCAGUGCCUAAAUUUGAUAUAACCCAUUUCUUUUUAAUGUCAGUGAUAAAGUAUUUUUGAGAGGUGUUGUUUAAGAAAUUGUUUCCUAAUCUAAAAUUAUCAUGAAAACAUUUUCAAGGGAUAAAAACAUCAUUUCACAUUGUCUCUCACCCUGGAACGAUUUCACCUUCCAUGUUUAGAUAGAUGCUCACGUACCCAGGCUAGUUCUCCAUAGGCUGCCACAGUGUCGCCCUCCACUGGCCCUUGGCCAGCACCAUCCCCAUGGCCACCUGCUGCCUGAGCAGGCUGCAUGGACUCCAUGUCAGUGCAACUUCCGCAGAGCCUGAUCAGGAGGAUCACAGCCAUACAGCUCAGUCCUCGGGAGGAUCAGCAACAGAGUCUACAGCAGA
rnacentral:lncRNA from 1 species